rnacentral:rRNA from 1 species
AUGAACGCUGGCGGCGUGCUUAACACAUGCAAGUCGAGCGAAGCACUAAAGCGGAUUUCUUCGGAUUGAAGGUUUAGUGACUGAGCGGCGGACGGGUGAGUAACGCGUGGGUAACCUGCCUCAUACAGGGGGAUAACAGUUGGAAACGGCUGCUAAUACCGCAUAAGCGCACAGUACCGCAUGGUACGGUGUGAAAAACUCCGGUGGUAUGAGAUGGACCCGCGUCUGAUUAGGUAGUUGGUGGGGUAACGGCCUACCAAGCCGACGAUCAGUAGCCGACCUGAGAGGGUGACCGGCCACAUUGGGACUGAGACACGGCCCAAACUCCUACGGGAGGCAGCAGUGGGGAAUAUUGCACAAUGGGGGAAACCCUGAUGCAGCGACGCCGCGUGAGCGAAGAAGUAUUUCGGUAUGUAAA